rnacentral:rRNA from 17 species
CGCCCCUAGCUAAAAAUUAGGGGUUCUGCCUGCCCGGUGACCACUGGUUAAACGGCUGCAGUAUUACUGACUGUGCAAAGGUAGCAUAAUCAUUCGCCUGUUAAUUGCAGGCUUGUAUCAACGGCUAGACGACAGAGUAGCUGUCUCCUUUUACUGACCAGAAAUUAAUAUUAAGGUGAAGAAGCCUUAAUAUAAUAGUGGGACGAGAAGACCCUAUAGAGCUUUACCUUAAUAAAAAAUAAAAUUUUUAGAGGGGUUUGGUUGGGGCAACCACCCUUAGUAUAAGACAAGGGUUGAACAUAAUAAAAAGUUGAUAUAAGACCCAAAACUAGUUUGAUCAAAAGAAAAAGUUACCUUAGGGAUAACAGCGUAAUUUCUUUUGAGAGUACUUAUUGACAAAGAAGCUUGCGACCUCGAUGUUGGAUCAGAAUAGCCUGGAUGUGCAGCAGCCUCCAAGGGUUGGUUUGUUCAACCAUUAAACUUCU